GUUCAAGAUAAAAACAUAACCAAAACACACACACACACACACACACACACAAAAAAACACAACCUGGGACCAAUCAUCAACCUUUGGGCCCUCAGAGACCCCUGCCGUUACAACAUCUCACACCUCCACUAUUAAUCUUCCACAUACGCACUAAGUGCCGACACACCUGGAUAUCAAUAACCUAUUAAAACUGCAUCCCUAAUGCAC